rnacentral:rRNA from 1 species
GACAGAGGGUGCAAACGUUGCUCGGAAUCACUGGGCGUAAAGCGCGCGCAGGCGGCUCGUCAAGUCUGGCGUGAAAGCCCCCGGCUCAACCGGGGAGGGUCGUCGGAGACUGGCGAGCUUGAGGGCGGUAGGGGCUGGUGGAAUUCCCGGUGUAGUGGUGAAAUGCGUAGAGAUCGGGAGGAACACCCGUGGCGAAGGCGGCCAGCUGGGCCGUCCCUGACGCUGAGGUGCGAAAGCGUGGGGAGCAAACAGG